rnacentral:lncRNA from 1 species
AAAUAUUUUAUUUACAUAUCCUUGAAAGACAGAGGCCUUCAGGGUGAAGGGCUAAGUGCUGAUUGGACCCUGCCUGCCCACAGUCAUGAUGGGGGACCCCACUCUGGGCGGAAUUGUGGUGCCCCCGUGUUCCACCGCUGCCUGGUGCCCACUCUGCGUCCGCAGACCUUCGGAGACACUUGUGCUCCGGAUCUGGCUUGCCGUGACCCGACUCUCCUGCUCUCCCCAGUAGCCCAGUACUCCUAUCUCCUCAGUACCCCAACACUCCCACUCUCCCCAGUACCCCGGUUCUCCCACUCUCCCCAGUACUCCAGUACUCCCACUCUCCCCAGUACCCCAACCCUCCCACUCUCCCCAGUACCCCCACUCUCCCACUCUCCCCAGUACCCCCAAUCUCCCACUCUCCCCAGUACCCCAACCCUCCCACUCUCCCCAGUACCCCAGUGCAUAAAGAGGAGGCGCUCACAAAGCGACAGGUCACAGCCUGCAGGGACACUCGCUGGCCAGCCCACCCACCAUCAUCUCUGCACCGGCCCACUGGGAGACGUCACCCCCGAGCGUCAGCACGAUGCAGGAGGACCCGGAGACCCUGCUGGCCUUGCAAAGGGCCAAUAUUGUGGCCCAGUACCAUCAGGCGCACCAAGCAGGGUCUCCACAGGACCUGUCACUGUGCAAGGUCACCGACCACCAGGGCUUUCUGCAGUGAGUCCCCUGGACACCCCUCAUCCAUCUCAGGGGGGCUGGCGUUUGCAGGAACACCUCUCUGGAGGCCGACCCCCCCCCCAGGUCGGGACCUCGUCCCCUGGAACCCUCUGA